rnacentral:miRNA from 1 species
UGAACAGUAGACGUGAAUUAU